UACGUAGGUGGCAAGCGUUGUCCGGAUUUAUUGGGCGUAAGGCGAGCGCAGGCGGUUCCUUAAGUGUGAUGUGAAAGCCCCCGGCUCAACCGGGGAGGGUCAUUGGAAACUGGGGAACUUGAGUGCAGAAGAGGAGAGUGGAAUUCCAUGUGUAGCGGUGAAAUGCGUAGAGAUAUGGAGGAACACCAGUGGCGAAGGCGACUCUCUGGGCUGUAACUGACGCUGAGGCGCGAAAGCGUGGGUAGCAAACAGG
rnacentral:rRNA from 1 species